rnacentral:rRNA from 1 species
AGAGUUUGAUCCUGGCUCAGGAUGAACGCUGGCGGCGUGCCUAACACAUGCAAGUCGAGCGAUUUACUUCGGUAAAGAGCGGCGGACGGGUGAGUAACGCGUGGGUAACCUGCCUCAUACACAUGGAUAACAUACCGAAAGGUAUGCUAAUACAAGAUGAUAUAAGAGAUUCGCAUGGAUUUCUUAUCAAAGCUCCGGCGGUAUGAGAUGGACCCGCGUCUGAUUAGCUAGUUGGUAAGGUAAAGGCUUACCAAGGCGACGAUCAGUAGCCGACCUGAGAGGGUGAUCGGCCACAUUGGAACUGAGACACGGUCCAAACUCCUACGGGAGGCAGCAGUGGGGAAUAUUGCACAAUGGGCGAAAGCCUGAUGCAGCAACGCCACGUGAGCGAUGAAGGCCUUCGGGUCGUAAAGCUCUGUCCUCAAGGAAGAUAAUGACGGUACUUGAGGAGGAAGCCCCGGCUAACUACGUGCCAGCAGCCGCGGUAAUACGUAGGGGGCUAGCGUUAUCCGGAUUUACUGGGCGUAAAGGGUGCGUAGGUGGUUUCUUAAGUCAGGAGUGAAAGGCUACGGCUCAACCGUAGUAAGCUCCUGAAACUGGGAAACUUGAGUGCAGGAGAGGAAAGUGGAAUUCCUAGUGUAGCGGUGAAAUGCGUAGAUAUUAGGAGGAACACCAGUAGCGAAGGUGGCUUUCUGGACUGUAACUGACACUGAGGCACGAAAGCGUGGGGAGCAAACAGGAUUAGAUACCCUGGUAGUCCACGCCGUAAACGAUGAGUA